GGUCAUCUACUGCAUGUAGGAGGACAGCAGCAGGACGGCUAUGCCACGUAAUGCUCAGGACUUUACCCUGUCAUCCCUGAGUUUUGAAUCCUACCUUAAUGAAGGCUUUAUGCAGGCUAGUAAAUGUCUGGGGUCUUGCAGUGUGUUUCUGAAGACAGGCGAUGACUGGGUGAACCCCGUGCAACUUCCAUGAUGCUUCACUUAUGGCAUGCAGAGAGCUGAAAUCACCUUUGGACACAGGUGAGGAAACGGAGACUGAAAGGGAAACGGUACCGCAUCAAAGCAUCAAAAGACGGAAAGACAGAACUAGUUCUGGGAAAUGCUAGAGCUGGGGCUGACGAAGCAUCUGUUCAGUAAUAAAAAUGUCCUAUUUUGAUUGCAGCAGAGAGACUUGCUUAAAUCAGUCUUGAUAUUUCAGUGGGACUCACAUUGUGUACAGUUUGUGCAAACCAAUACUAAAGGUCAGUGUAUUUAACAGCUACAUAAAGUUAACAUUGUUUAUUAGAAUGCUACUGGCCUAACGGAGCAAAACAGAAAAACAUACACACACAACACAAAUAAAGGCACACGGUUUGGCUCAGUAUGACCACGAGUACAGCAAAGAGAGGAUGAAUGCCCUCGAUUCUUCAAAUAGUGCAGUGCCACCGAGUGCCUGCAGUUCUGGGCAGAGCCAGUUACCCGUGUGCAGUACAAUUCCUCCCAAAGAAGAAAUGGCUUCAUUUUCACAAAGCCCCAGUCCCGAUGUUUAUCAUUCCUCUGCAUCUGUUUGAAAGAUCCAGACAAACAGAACUAAAAUCUGACUCACUGAAAUAGUCUUGGUGUUUAUCCUGUGAGUUGGAGAACUCCUCCAACCAGACGAAGAACAGCUCCAGCCGCUCGCAUCGCUUGCAGUGGUUGCUCCUAGCUGGGCAAUUUCAGGUAGACAUGCAACGUUUGCUCUCCCUUCAGUGCUGGAUGCUAUUCAUUUCCACUUAGCUGUUAUGAGGGGUGUUUUUAUUCAUUCCCUGAAGGACAGAAACCCUGACUUAGCAGUCCAAAUCUUUAGGAAACAGUCAAUGGCGAUGGUAGUGAAAGCAACGUUUGCCUAGCACAGUAUGGAAGCUAGUGGCAAUGUGUUCAUCAAGUAAGCUAAAAGCCUGCUUUCUGAAAUGCAUCUCUGAUCUCCAGAGAUCAAGAAACGAGGAACAGGCAGCAACAAGAAAGUUACACAACUUGGUGAGUUGUGCUAGCAGCCGCCGGACGGAGAUGCUGACUGAGGCAGACCUACUUUUCUGACCUUUACAGUGGGAAAACAAUAAUGCCACGUAAGACACAAACAGAAUCACAGAACACCUUCACCACUGCAGAACAGAAGUCACCGACAACUAAGAAAUAUGCUGUUAUUAGCAUGUUUUGGCUAAUGAAACUGAGAAGAGAAAAGGCUGAGACACUACAGUUAAACACCAACCCUUAUUUUCCACCAGUGCAGAGUUAAACACUCAGUGUUUGCUCAUGGAUUUGAAGAUAUAAACCUGUCAGUAAGUAUUAGAAACCCUCAGGAUCACAGGGGGAGAUUUGGAACAACUGAGGAAAACUCCGAGUGUUUCCAGGAUGGAAUAUUCCUUCAGAAUAGCUCAGCCUUUUCUUUUUCAAUCUUUGUACGAUUAAAACGUAAUUCAACUUGAAAACCCUUUAUCACCAAAGGUGUCUGUAAGAAAGACAAAUGGCUUGUCCUGUUCAUACAGCUUUAUAUCGUUUACUUGUUUGUUUUAAAUAUUCUCUCAGCUAAAAUGUUUAACUUGGACUUCAGCAUUCUUCCACGUUCUGCUUUGCCACAGAUUUGGAUUUGUUUUUGGAUGAGAACACAGCGUUUAAUUUCCCCCCAAGUUACAUGGGUACUUCUGCCCAAUCACAAAGAGUGUUGUGAGGAAAAGAGAAUCUUUGUGAAGCACUCCUUCCAGAUUAGCACUAUCUCAUUCGAGGACUGAACUUCCAGGCCGACAGACUCCUUCCGGGAUGGAAGAGCACUUCCAGAGGAUGCUUCCAAUUCCUGGCAGAACACCACCCACACAGAAAAGCAUGUUUGCCAAACCACUUCCAACUGCACAUCUACCUGGCUUGAAAGCUCCUUGGCUCCGAUUCUGCACACUGCAGAACACUGCAUUUCCAGCAGGAUUUCAGAGUAUGCCCUAUUCUGCAUUGACAAGUGCUAAGUGUCCUAGCUGUUGGUUCCUUGGGAUCUUAAACUCAUUUUUAGAAUGCUUGAUACCUGCAGUUUCGUUUCCAUUUGGGACUGCUGGAAAGCCGAGGCUGAAUUUAGCACACAUCUACAGCAAGCUGAUUCUCUAAACACAUAUCCCAAAUUAAAAAAAAAGAGUAAAAAAUAUAUACAUAAACAUUAAAAUUCAAACAAAAUAAAACCAUUUUCUCAUAAUUUCAGAAGAGCCUUUGUCUCCCUUGUAAACUCAUCGCCUUCCUAUUUUCAGUUUGUACUUCUGUAAUUCAAAACAUUUUGCUUUUGCUUGGCAGGCUUUACAAAUUCAAUUUUGUACGCCAGCAGUCACAUACGCAGGCUGGGGCUUCCUAGUGGGUUGCUGUCCUGACUCCUAUUAUUUGAAUUCCUUUCCAUUUGACCUGAAAAUCAUGCAAAGUGAUCUUGAAACAAUAUUGCAUUAGUAAAGCUGCAAGUGAAACCCUCCAAGAUUGCUGUGCUUUUUUGUCUACUUGUCUACUGCAAGUCAUUCAUAUGGUGGUAGCAGUACAAGUCAUUCAUACGGUGGUGGCACAGCUUUUUCAACACCCAUGCACAUCUCUUUACCUUCUGCAGACAAAUUGGUCACAUUAACAUUAGUGAAAAGUGCUGUUAGCAUGAAGUGAGGCCUUCUUGAUGCCUUCCCAACAAGCAAGACAUUCGCUUGUUUACGUUGAAUCAAAUCAAGCCAAUUGUAUAUAGUCACUGCAAAACUGUCAAUGUAGUAAAUCGGACCGGCAUGCUUUUGGGUGGAAAGGUCAGGUGAAACAUCUACAACUUCUCCAAAAAAUC